rnacentral:piRNA from 1 species
UAAAUUUGUUGACGGCCAAGGCUUAGGACCC